rnacentral:rRNA from 1 species
UACGGGGGGAGCAAGCGUUGUUCGGAUUUACUGGGCGUAAAGGGCGCGUAGGCGGCCAGCACAAGUCAGUUGUGAAAUCUCCGGGCUUAACUCGGAAAGGUCAACUGAUACUGUGCGGCUAGAGUGCAGAAGGGGCAACUGGAAUUCUCGGUGUAGCGGUGAAAUGCGUAGAUAUCGAGAGGAACACCAGUGGCGAAGGCGAGUCUCUGGACGACUCCUGACACUGAGGCACGAAAGCUAGGGGAGCAAACAGG